AGGGGGACCUUCGGGCCUCUUGCCAUCGGAUGUGCCCAGAUGGGAUUAGCUAGUAGGUGGGGUAACGGCUCACCUAGGCGACGAUCCCUAGCUGGUCUGAGAGGAUGACCAGCCACACUGGAACUGAGACACGGUCCAGACUCCUACGGGAGGCAGCAGUGGGGAAUAUUGCACAAUGGGCGCAAGCCUGAUGCAGCCAUGCCGCGUGUAUGAAGAAGGCCUUCGGGUUGUAAAGUACUUUCAGCGGGGAGGAAGGCGAUAAGGUUAAUAACCUUGUCGAUUGACGUUACCCGCAGAAGAAGCACCGGCUAACUCCGUGCCAGCAGCCGCGGUAAUACGGAGGGUGCAAGCGUUAAUCGGAAUUACUGGGCGUAAAGCGCACGCAGGCGGUCUGUCAAGUCGGAUGUGAAAUCCCCGGGCUCAACCUGGGAACUGCAUUCGAAACUGGCAGGCUAGAGUCUUGUAGAGGGGGGUAGAAUUCCAGGUGUAGCGGUGAAAUGCGUAUAGAUCUGGAGGAAUACCGGUGGCGAAG
rnacentral:rRNA from 1 species